AGUGAACGCUGGCGGUAGGCCUAACACAUGCAAGUCGAACGGCAGCACAGUAAGAGCUUGCUCUUACGGGUGGCGAGUGGCGGACGGGUGAGGAAUACAUCGGAAUCUACUUUUUCGUGGGGGAUAACGUAGGGAAACUUACGCUAAUACCGCAUACGACCUACGGGUGAAAGCAGGGGAUCUUCGGACCUUGCACGAUUGAAUGAGCCGAUGUCGGAUUAGCUAGUUGGCGGGGUAAAGGCCCACCAAGGCGACGAUCCGUAGCUGGUCUGAGAGGAUGAUCAGCCACACUGGAACUGAGACACGGUCCAGACUCCUACGGGAGGCAGCAGUGGGGAAUAUUGGACAAUGGGCGCAAGCCUGAUCCAGCCAUACCGCGUGGGUGAAGAAGGCCUUCUGGUUGUAAAGCCCUUUUGUUGUGAAAGAAAAGCAGCAGGUUAAUACCCCGCUGUUCUGACGGUACCCAAAGAAUAAGCACCGGCUAACUUCGUG
rnacentral:rRNA from 1 species